rnacentral:rRNA from 1 species
UUUAUGGCCACUCUGAAUGAGCCCGAUCGCAUCUGACCUUGGAAGCUAAGAAGGGUCAGGCCUAGUUAGUACUUGGAUGGGAUUCCACCUGGGAAUAUCAGGUAUUAAAG